UAAAUAUUAAGCUUGCCUUGACUUUUAUUGAGUCAUGGCUUGCGAAUCCUUUGUAUUUAAAACCCCACUCUUUUUUAAAAUGAAUCAUAUUUUUAUGUUAAAAAUAAUAUAAAGA
rnacentral:misc_RNA from 1 species